rnacentral:lncRNA from 14 species
CACUCUUGGUCUAGUAAAGCAGGGCAAAGUGUCUGCUGCUAAUUGAGCCCUCUCAACGGGAGAAAGUCCCAGCAACAGGAAGGUCAGAACUAAGUGUCUAUAUGUCUGCAAGAUGUGAGAACAAAC